AACGAACGCUGGCGGCAUGCCUAACACAUGCAAGUCGAACGAGACCUUCGGGUCUAGUGGCGCACGGGUGCGUAACGCGUGGGAACCUUCCCUUAGGUUCGGAAUACCUCCCCGACAGGGGUGCUAAUGCCGGAUAAUGUCUUCGGACCAAAGAUUUAUUGCCUUUGGUUGGGCCGGAGUUGGAUUAGCUAGUUGGUAGGGUAAAAGCCUACUAAGGCGACGAUCCAUAGAUGGUCUGAGAGGAUGAUCAGCCACACUGGGACUGAGACACGGCCCAGACUCCUACGGGAGGCAGCAGUGGGGAAUAUUGGACAAUGGGCGAAAGCCUGAUCCAGCAAUGCCGCGUGAGUGAUGAAGGCCUUAGGGUUGUAAAGCUCUUUUAACCGGGAUGAUAAUGACAGUACCGGGAGAAUAAGCCCCGGCUAACUCCGUG
rnacentral:rRNA from 1 species